rnacentral:rRNA from 1 species
AGAGUUUGAUCCUGGCUCAGAACGAACGCUGGCGGCAGGCUUAACACAUGCAAGUCGAACGCUCGUAGCAAUACGGGAGUGGCAGACGGGUGAGUAACGCGUGGGAACAUACCCUCCGGUUCGGAAUAGCUCAGGGAAACUUGGAUUAAUACCGGAUACGGCUGAGAGGCGAAAGAUUUAUCGCCGGAGGAUUGGCCCGCGUUCGAUUAGCUUGUUGGUGAGGUAACGGCUCACCAAGGCGAUGAUCGAUAGCUGGUCUGAGAGGAUGAUCAGCCACAUUGGGACUGAGACACGGCCCAAACUCCUACGGGAGGCAGCAGUGGGGAAUAUUGGACAAUGGGCGCAAGCCUGAUCCAGCCAUGCCGCGUGAGUGAUGACGGCCUUAGGGUUGCAAAGCUCUUUCGCUCGGGACGAUAAUGACGGUACCGAGAUAAGAAGCCCCGGCUAACUUCGUGCCAGCAGCCGCGGUAAUACGAAGGGGGCUAGCGUUGUUCGGAAUUACUGGGCGUAAAGCGCGUGUAGGCGGGUCUUUAAGUCAGGGGUGAAAUGCCAAGGCUCAACCUUGGAACUGCCUUUGAUACUGGAGAUCUUGAGUCCGGGAGAGGUGAGUGGAAUUGCGAGUGUAGAGGUGAAAUUCGUAGAUAUUCGCAAGAACACCAGUGGCGAAGGCGGCUCACUGGCCCGGAACUGACGCUGAGACGCGAAAGCGUGGGGAGCAAACAGGAUUAGAUACCCUGGUAGUCCACGCUGUAAACGAUGGAUGCUAGCCGUUGGGGAGCUUGCUCUUCAGUGGCGCAGCUAACGCUUUAAGCAUCCCGC